rnacentral:rRNA from 1 species
GAUCUAUCCAUGGGCAGGUUGAAGGUUGGAUAAUCUCUAACUGGAGGACCGAACUGGUGAAUGUUGAAAAAUUCUCGGAUGACCUGUGGAUAGGGGUGAAAGGCCAAUCAAACUCGGAGAUAGCUCGUACUCCCCGAAAUGCAUUUAGGUGCAGCGUCGUGUAGUGAUUGUUGGAGGUAAAGCUACUGAGAAGGCUAGGGGGCUUCACCGCCUACCAACCCUUAACAAACUCUGAAUGCCAACAAUUAGCAGCGGCAGUGAGCCCCAGGGUGCGAAGGUCAUGGGGCGAGAGGGGAACAACCCAGACCAUCAGCUAAGGUCCCUAAAUAUAGUUAAGUUGCAUUAAACGAGGUGGGAAUGCACAGACAGCUAGGAUGUUUGCUUGGAAGCAGCAAUUCAUUUAAAGAGUGCGUAACAGCUCACUAGUCGAGCGUUCCUGCGCGGAAAAUAAGCGGGCAUCAAACUAUAUACCGAAGCUAUGGACUUAAGAGAUUAAGUGGUAGGGGAGCAUUCAGUCGGGUUGAAGCGGGAUGGUGAUGUUCCGUGGACUGAACUGAAAAGCAAAUGUAGGCAUAAGUAACGAUAAAUGGCGUGGAAAACGUCAUCGCCGUAAGACUAAGGGUUCCUUGAUCUACGUUCAUCGGAUCAGGGUUAGCCGGGACCUAAGGAUAAGCCGAAAGGUGAUUUCGAUGGAAAGUGGGUUAAUAUUCCUACGCCUGUGUAUACUGCGAGUUGGGGACGGAGUUGAAGAGUCAUCGCGUACUUACGGAAUAGUACGUUAAAGCGCAAGCGAUAGUACACUGAGGGCUUCGGCCUGAAGUGAUAGUGUGGCGAAUUGACUUCCAGGAAAAGCCGACAAAGCAUCAGGUAUAUACAGCCCGUACCGUAAACCGACACAGGUAGUCGAGGAGAGUAUCCUAAGGCGCUCGAGUGAUUCGUGGCUAAGGAACUAGGCAAAAUGGUCUCGUAACUUCGGGAGAAGAGACGCUGGCAGCAAUGUCAGCCGCAGUGAAGAGGCCCAGGCGACUGUUUAGCAAAAACACAGGGCUAUGCCAAAUCGUAAGAUGAUGUAUAUGGCCUGACACCUGCCCGGUGCCGGAAGGUUAAGGAAGGGGCUUAGUGCGCAAGUGCGAAGGUCUUAACUGAAGCCCCGGUAAACGGCGGCCGUAACUAUAACGGUCCUAAGGUAGCGAAAUUCCUUGUCGGGUAAGUUCCGACCUGCACGAAUGGUGUAACGAUCUGGGCACUGUCUCAGCCACGAGCUCGGUGAAAUUGAAGUAUCGGUGAAGAUGCCGAUUACC